rnacentral:rRNA from 1 species
UACGAAGGGGGCUAGCGUUGCUCGGAAUCACUGGGCGUAAAGGGUGCGUAGGCGGGUCUUUAAGUCAGGGGUGAAAUCCUGGAGCUCAACUCCAGAACUGCCUUUGAUACUGAGAAGCUUGAGUCCGGGAGAGGUGAGUGGAACUGCGAGUGUAGAGGUGAAAUUCGUAGAUAUUCGCAAGAACACCAGUGGCGAAGGCGGCUCACUGGCCCGGUACUGACGCUGAGGUGCGAAAGCGUGGGGAGCAAACAGGG